AGCCGUGCUGAAGGAGCUGAUGGAGGAGCCGUGCUGAAGGCCCUGGGCUGGUGGAGGAGCUGGUGGAGGCCCUGCCUGGUGAAUGACGUCUGUCGUGGGGUAGGUAGAGCUUGACUCUGAAGUGAUCAUCACACUCACUGCCACUUCUCGUAGAAUACUGCUACCACAAACUACCGGCGUUUGUACCAUAUAUACCAGACGACUACAUCUGUUUUACCACAUGUUGAAGCAAGACUUCCGCUGUUUGUUCCAGACCAGGACUCUGGCUGAGGAGAGCUGAUGGAGGAGCCAAGACUCUGGAGGACGACAUCACUCCACCAACCAGGAUCCUCAGACAAAUUACGUUUGUAACCAGACCAGGAAUCUGGAGGACUGAUGGAGAAGCCAUACAUCUGGAAGGCAAAUCCUGAGGACCACCAGGACUCUACCAUCAAGGAUUCCUCAUAAAUGUGCAUUAUCUGGACAUAGUGGACUAGACACACCUGAGCUGAACCUCACCUGAUCCUGUUUGGUCGGGGUAGACACACCUGAGCUGAACUUCACCUGAUCCUGUUUGGUCGGGGGUAGACGCACCUGAGCUAAACCCGCCCUGAUCCUGACUUCCUGCUGGUCCCGUCUCCUCAGUUCAUCUGAGCCUCGUCCUCCAGAAGACCUGCUGAGCUCAGCAGUCUGAGGCUGAUGGAUCAAUGACCUCCAGUGGGAGUGAUCUUCUUUACCCCACAUGUAACCGUGUGCUUCCACACGCCUUUCCCUCACGUCUGUCACUAACCUCACUACUUCACUACUCUCUACUGCUUCCUCUUCUUCUUCCUUCUCUGUGGUUCGAACCUUUACACGGAAGGCGCGUCUUCCUGCCCUCAGAGGGUUUAGCGUUAGGGUUGAGAGUCAGGGUUUAGAGUCAGGGACAGAGCUGGUCAGGGAGGACUGCUUUUACACAAACUUCUUCACUUGCUUUCGGAAUGGUGGUGACAUUUUGAAAAGAUUCAUUUGGGAAAAUGUUUUCCUCUGCUUUCCUUUACAAAUUGUAUUAAACUUCUGUCAAGUGUUUUUGUUUAUAUAUUAAAAUCCCACAUUGACUUCUA